CCUUAACGAGAAUCUGAUACGGUUCCAGUCAGACCGGAGGGGAAAGACGCUUAUACAGCUUCGCAACC
rnacentral:pre_miRNA from 1 species